rnacentral:snoRNA from 1 species
UGCGCGUGCAUUCAACUGGUGGACAAAGACAUGAAAGACAGGUGCAAAAAUAAAUCCUCUUUUGCAAGUCAGAACUUAUGGUUCAGUGUCAGUUUUGAUUCAUCCACGAAGGACUACA